rnacentral:rRNA from 1 species
UACAGAGGUCUCAAGCGUUAUCCGGAUUCACUGGGUUUAAAGGGCGCGUAGGCGGUUCGAUAAGUCCCGUGUGAAAUCCCUCGGCUCAACUGAGGAACUGCACGGGAAACUGACGGGCUUGAGUUCGGGAGAGGGAAGCGGAAUUCCGGGUGUAGCGGUGAAAUGCGUAGAUAUCUGGAGGAACACCGGUGGCGAAGGCGGCAUCCUGGACCGACACUGACGCUGAGGAGCGAAAGCCAGGGGAGCAAACAGG